CAGGUUGAGCUCGUGCGACUAGGCCUACUCUCUGCCGUUCUGAAGGUGCCAGGGGGGGGGGAAAAAACGUCCUUCAGCAAGCUGAUGAGCCAAGGAGGAGGACAGAAGAGAACAGCAGGCCAGUGGAGCACUUGGAACAGCAGAAUCCAGAGGAAACUGUUAGGGAAGAGGAUGAUUUAGGUGACCCAAACACAGGCCCAAAACAAGUUAAGCUACCUCAGUAUCCCCUUGACCGUUUUGGAUUGAAAAACUAAAGAGACACACCAGACAAGACACAGAGACCGCAACAGAAGAUUAUAUGAUGGAGAUAGACACCAGAUAAGACACAGGGACCGC
rnacentral:lncRNA from 1 species